CCUACGGGAGGCAGCAGUGGGGAAUAUUGGGCAAUGGGCGCAAGCCUGACCCAGCAACGCCGCGUGAAGGAAGAAGGCUUUCGGGUUGUAAACUUCUUUUCUCAGGGACGAAGAAAGUGACGUUACCUGCGGAAUAAGCCACGGCUAAUUACGUCCCAGCAGCCGCGGUAAUACGUAGGUGGCAAGCGUUAUCCGGAUUUACUGGGUGUAAAGGGCGUGUAGGCGGGGAAGCAAGUCAGAUGUGAAACCCACGGGCUCAACCUGUGGCCUGCAUUUGAAACUGUUUUUCUUGAGUACUGGAGAGGCAGACGGAAUUCCUAGUGUAGCGGUGAAAUGCGUAGAUAUUAGGAGGAACACCAGUGGCGAAGGCGGUCUGCUGGACAGCAACUGACGCUGAGGCGCGAAAGCGUGGGGAGCAAACAGGAUUAGAUACCCUUGUAGUC
rnacentral:rRNA from 1 species